rnacentral:lncRNA from 1 species
CUCAGCUGGUGCUCAACUAUUGGUUUGGGCUGUGACCUGGCAAUUCCACUGCAGGGAGCUACAGUAAAGAAGGGAAUGGGCUCUUUAUCAGGUUCUGCUGUGAUAAAACAAGGGUAAAUGAUUUCAAGCUUAAUUAAGUUAGAAAUAAGGGAAAAGUCUUAGAGUUAGCAUGGUGAGGCACAAGAACAGGUUGCCGAGGGAAGUGGUGGAUGCCCCAUUCCUGGAGGCUUUCAAUGCAAGGCUGGAUCAGGCUCUCAGCAACCUGAUGUGCCUGUGGAUGUCCCUGUUCAUUGUAGGGGAGUUGGACUAGAUGACCUUUAAAGGUCCCUUCCAACUCUAAGGAUUCUAUGAUUCUAUUCUAUGACAACACUAUUCAAAAGAUUGUUGAGAGUGGCAUAAGCUGUACUGAUUGCCUACUGAUUCCAUAACUGAGCAAAAUGAUGCCUGGUCAUGUGACCAUCAGAGAUUGGCUGAUGCACCACAGCAGCUUUGAAGGCAGGAGCUCCGCGGCAGGUGAAUAAAGUACCCCUAAAGCCUCCAUCCCAUUCUCUCCACCUCUUAACCUUCCUCCUUGCCACCUCUAUGGACCUCAAGCAGUUGACUGAGAGUAGAUGCUUCCCAUCAAGGCUGGUUCAGCAGCCCCCAGUUUUACACAGAACGCUCACAGGCUGAUGAUGUCCUGGAGUCUCACAGCUCCUGCCUGAAGGAGUGGAAGCAUCUUCCCACCCUGGCGCCAUGCUGCCUCCAGCCCUUCCUGCUGCGACGUUCCCAUCUUGCAGAUGGGCCCCUUGAAGCAAAAACGUUGCUUGUGAGUGGUGGUGCUGUGACAAGGGAAACACUGCAAAAGGCUGGAACAAAAAGUGUCAUGGGCUCUUCUCAGCUGACCCCAGUGUUUUUUAUAACAUACUAUAGAACAAUAAUGUCCAUCUGAGAGUGACAUUCCUUUGAGGUCUAACCUCAGCUUGUAUCUUUGGAGAAUUG